rnacentral:rRNA from 1 species
AAUGAACGUUGGCGGCGUGGAUUAGGCAUGCAAGUCGCGCGAGAAAUUUCCUUCGGGAGAUGGAAAGCGGCGAAAGGGAGAGGAAUAAGUAGAAAUCUGCCCUCGGGACGGGGAUAGCGGCGGGAAACUGCCGGUAAUACCCGAUAACAUCUUCGGAUCAAAUGGUGUGAUUCCGCCUGGGGAUGAGUCUACUUCCUAUUAGCUAGUUGGCGGGGUAAUGGCCCACCAAGGCAACGAUGGGUAGCGGGCGUGAGAGCACGAUCCGCCUCACUGGGACUGAGACACUGCCCAGACACCUACGGGUGGCUGCAGUCGAGAAUCUUCGGCAAUGGGGGAAACCCUGACCGAGCGACGCCGCGUGCGGGAUGAAGGCCCUCGGGUUGUAAACCGCUGUCGUAAGGGAACAAAUCUAUGAGGGUACUCUCUCAUAGUUGAGUGAUCUUAGGAGGAAGGACGGGCUAAGUUCGUGCCAGCAGCCGCCGUAAGAC